rnacentral:rRNA from 1 species
UCGGAUUGUAGUCUGNAACCCGACUACAUGAAGCUGGAAUCGCUAGUAAUCGCAGGUCAGCAUACUGCGGUGAAUACGUUCCCGGGUCUUGUACACACCGCCCGUCACACCAUGGGAGCCGGAAAUGCCCGAAGCCAGUGACCCAACCUUAGGGAGGGAGCUGUCGAAGGUGGAGCCGGUAACUGGGGUGAAGUCGUAACAAGGUAUC